rnacentral:rRNA from 1 species
GGCCAGACUCCUACGGGAGGCAGCAGUAGGGAAUUUUGCGCAAUGGGCGAAAGCCUGACGCAGCAACGCCGCGUGAUCGAGACGCCCUUCGGGGUGUAAAGAUCUGUCAGUGGGGACGAAACUUGACGGUACCCACAGAGGAAGCACCGGCUAACUCCGUGCCAGCAGCCGCGGUAAUACGGGGGGUGCAAGCGUUGUCCGGAAUCAUUGGGCGUAAAGAGUUCGUAGGCGGCACGUAAAGUCUGGUGUUAAAGGCAGAGGCUCAACUUCUGUACGGCACUGGAUACUUGCGAGCUAGAAUGCGGUAGAGGUAAAGGGAAUUCCUGGUGUAGCGGUGAAAUGCUUAGAUAUCAUGAAGAACUCCGAUCGCGAAGGCAAGUGUCCGGGGUGCAACUGACGCUGAGGCUCGAAAGUGCGGGUAUCAAACAGGAUUAGAUACCCUAGUAAUA